GAUGAACGCUAGCGGCAGGCUUAAUACAUGCAAGUCGAGGGGCAGCAUGGUGUAGCAAUACACUGAUGGCGACCGGCAAACGGGUGCGGAACACGUACGCAACUUACCCAAGACUGGGGAAUAGCCCGGGGAAACCCGGAUUAAUACCUCGUAACAUAAUGAAGUGGCAUCACUUUAUUAUUAUAGCUCCGGCGGUUUUGGAUGGGCGUGCGCCUGAUUAGGUAGUUGGCGGGGUAAUGGCCCACCAAGCCUACGAUCAGUAACUGGUGUGAGAGCACGACCAGUCACACGGGCACUGAGACACGGGCCCGACUCCUACGGGAGGCAGCAGUAAGGAAUAUUGGUCAAUGGACGCAAGUCUGAACCAGCCAUGCCGCGUGAAGGAUGAAGGUCCUCUGGAUUGUAAACUUCUUUUAUAUGGGAAGAAAUCCAUCUUUUCUUGGGUGGUUGACGGUACCAUAGGAAUAAGCACCGGCUAACUCCGUGCCAGAAGCCGCGGUAAUACGGAGGGUGCAAGCGUUAUCCGGAUUCACUGGGUUUAAAGGGUGCGUAGGAGGGCAGGUAAGUCAGUGGUGAAAUCUCCAAGCUUAACUUGGAAACUGCCGUUGACACUAUCUGUCUUGAAUACCGUGGAGGUGAGCGGAAUAUGUCAUGUAGCGGUGAAAUGCUUAGAUAUGACAUAGAACACCAAUUGCGAAGGCAGCUCGCUACAUGAAUAUUGACUCUGAGGCACGAAAGCGUGGGGAUCAAACAGGAUUAGAUACCCUGGUAGUCCACGCCCUAAACGAAGGAUACUCGACAUACGCGAUACACAGUGUGUGUCUGAGCGAAAGCAUUAAGUAUCCCACCUGGGAAGUAC
rnacentral:rRNA from 1 species